AGCUGGGGCAGGAGCUGGGGCAGGAGCAGGAGCAGGAGCAGGAGCUGGAGCUGCUGCUAACCAUGGUGGAGGAAGAGCCACAGGAGAGCUACGAUGAUGUGGUGUCGAUGACCAUGACAGCUGAGGAGACCAGAGAGGAGGUUGCAGAGGCCCUUGAGAGACCCAAACCCAAGGACCUGGAGAUCCAUGAUGAUGAGGAGGAUUACCUGGAACCUGAUGGAUAGGGGAUCCCAAAGUUGGCGUCAAAAAUCUGAGUACCUGCAUAAGAACCUCACGUUCCAUUUUCAUCAGUCCACAUAUAAUAUCGCUGUGUCUUUUUCAUAUAUGAAGAUACAAUUAUUUGAAUUACUUGACUUUUUUUGUCUCUAACAUUUUAUAUUGUUUCAAAUGUUUUGAUUAGUUUGACAUGUUUUGAUUCGUUUGUUGUGCCAUGGCCUGUAAAGCAGAAAUGAUUGACACAGAACAGAAUCAAUAGUGUCUGUCUCACAACAACACAUGUAUUAAUGAAACAUGAUCUUGCUAUGUGGUAGUUUCUUCCAUAAGGAACAGCAUGUGAAAUUAUCAAUUGCUUUUUAUGCGUCAAAGCUCAUAGCCAACAGCUGUUUUUCAAUUACUUUUAUCGUACAUUUUUUUACUACUUUUAGCAUUUAUAAAUGUAAAAUUUGAAACAUUUUUAUUUGUAAUUGCAAAUAAUGAUGUUGUUUUUGUUCUUCUCUUCAACUUCUCAGUAUUUAUGUGUUUAUGAAAGUUAUUAUUCAGAUUUUACACCAAUAAUCAUUUCAAUGUUAGAUUUCUUUCCUUUUGAAUUUAUUAGAUUUUAAGGCUUAGAAAAUAUGAAAGUAGUUGUUCACGGGGUUUAUCUCAUAGCUAUGUAUUUUAUUUGUUUAAACAUGUUUGUUUAGUGUUUUGUUUUCUCUAUGAAAUCAUGUUUGAGAUUUGGUGAUUGGAAUUUUAAGAAUAUUGUCAAUGGGGGGAAAAUAAAACAUUCAGUGUAAAAUAGAAAACUAACUUAAAUUUGAAAAGUAAAACAAAGUUGAGAUGAUGAUGAGAGGUAUAAAAUGAAUUCCAAUUAAGAAUACUUCCACUGAUUAUUUGAUGUACAGUGUCAGAUUUUUUAAAUUAUGUAAUUUACUUUUGAAGAAAAUGAAAAUGCUUUAAUAAUGUACUGUGCUGUCAGUAAUGUUUUUUGAGAGGAUACUGAAUUAUUGGCUUUA